rnacentral:rRNA from 1 species
GAUGAACGCUAGCGGCAGGCUUAACACAUGCAAGUCGAGGGGUAUUGGUUUUCGGACCAAGAGACCGGCGCACGGGUGCGUAACGCGUAUGCAAUCUACCUUUUGCAGAGGGAUAGCCCCAGAGAAAUUUGGAUUAAUACCUCAUAGUAUAGUACUUUGGCAUCAAGGAACUAUUAAAGUCACAACGGCAAAAGAUGAGCAUGCGUCCAUUAGCUAGUUGGUAAGGUAACGGCUUACCAAGGCUACGAUGGGUAGGGGUUCUGAGAGGGAGAUCCCCCACACUGGUACUGAGACACGGACCAGACUCCUACGGGAGGCAGCAGUGAGGAAUAUUGGACAAAUGGGCGCAAGCCUUGAUCCAGCAUGCCGCGUGCAGGAUGACGGUCCUAUGGAUUGUAAACUGC